GAUGAACGCUAGCGGCAGGCUUAAUACAUGCAAGUCGAGGGGCAGCGCAGUGUAGCAAUACAUGGGCGGCGACCGGCAAACGGGUGCGGAACACGUACGCAACCUUCCUUUAAGUGGGGGAUAGCCCAGGGAAACUUGGAUUAAUACCCCGUAAUAUUAUGAAGUGGCAUCACUUUAUACUUAUAGCUCCGGCGCUUAAAGAUGGGCGUGCGACUGAUUAGGUAGUUGGCGGGGUAACGGCCCACCAAGCCUGCGAUCAGUAACUGGUGUGAGAGCACGACCAGUCACACGGGCACUGAGACACGGGCCCGACUCCUACGGGAGGCAGCAGUAAGGAAUAUUGGUCAAUGGACGCAAGUUUGAACCAGCCAUGCCGCGUGGGGGAUGAAGGUCCUCUGGAUUGUAAACUUCUUUUAUUUGGGAAGAAACCCACUGUUUCUACGGUGGUUGACGGUACCAGAUGAAUAAGCACCGGCUAACUCCGUGCCAGCCGCCGCGGUAA
rnacentral:rRNA from 1 species